ACGGGGUGCAGCAGGCGCGAAAACUUCACACUGGGGGGAACCCCGAUGAGGGAAAUCCUAGUGCUAGGACAUUUGUUCUAGCUUUUCUCAAGCGUAGAUAACUUGAGGAAUAAGGGCUGGGUAAGACGGGUGCCAGCCGCCGCGGUAAUACCCGCAGCCCAAGUGGUGGUCGAUUUUAUUGAGUCUAAAACGUUCGUAGCCGGUUUGGUAAAUCCUUGGGUAAAUCGAGAGGCUUAACCUUUCGAAUUCCGAGGAGACUGCCAAACUUGGGACCGGGAGAGGCUAGAGGUACUUCUGGGGUAGGGGUAAAAUCCUGUAAUCCUAGAAGGACCACCGGUGGCGAAGGCGUCUAGCUAGAACGGAUCCGACGGUGAGGGACGAAGCCCUGGGGUCGCAAACGGGAUUAGAUACCCCGGUAGUCCAGGGUGUAAACGCUGCCGACUUGGUGUUGGAGGCCUUCGGGGGCAUUCAGUGCCGGAGAGAAGUUGUUAAGUCGGCUUACUUGGGGAGUACGUCCGCAAGGAUGAAACUUAAAGGAAUUGGCGGGGAGCAC
rnacentral:rRNA from 1 species